rnacentral:rRNA from 1 species
UUGGGACAUGCUGGGUUCUAUAGAAGAUUCAUAAAGGAUUUCUCCAAGAUAGCCAAACCCCUCACUAAUCUCCUAAACAAUGAUGUUAAGUUCAACUUUGAUGCAGAAUGUGAAAAAUCCUUCAACUUGCUCAAGGAAGCAUUGGUCACUGCUCCAGUAGUGCAACCCCCUGACUGGGAAUUACCAUUUGAGAUAAUGUGUGACGCAAGUGACUUUGCUGUGGGUGCAGUACUGGGACAAAGAAAAGGAAAAGAUUUGCAUGUAAUAUACUAUGCUAGCAAAACUCUUGAUGGUGCUCAAGCUAAUUACACAACCACAGAAAAGGAGUUGUUGGCAGUAGUGUAUGCCUUUGACAAAUUCAGGCAAUAUCUUGUAGGGUCUCAUUGUGUAGUUUACACAGACCACGCUGCAAUUAGAUAUCUACUCAGCAAGAAAGAAGCCAAGCCAAGGUUAAUUAGAUGGAUACUCUUGCUUCAAGAAUUUGAUGUGGAAAUCAAG